GCACUCGUAGCUCAACUGGAUAGAGUACCUGGCUACGAACCAGGCGGUUGGAGGUUCGAGUCCUCCCGAGUGCG
rfam:Idiomarina salinarum strain ISL-52 contig6, whole genome shotgun sequence.